rnacentral:rRNA from 1 species
UACGGAGGGUGCGAGCGUUGUCCGGAAUCACUGGGCGUAAAGGGCGCGUAGGCGGCGCGGAAAGUCAACGGUGAAAGCUUGGGGCUCAACCCCGAGUCGGCCGUCGAUACUUCCGUGCUCGAGCACUGUAGAGGCAGGUGGAAUUCCGGGUGUAGCGGUGGAAUGCGUAGAGAUCCGGAAGAACACCGGUGGCGAAGGCGGCCUGCUGGGCAGUAGCUGACGCUGAGACGCGAAAGCGUGGGGAGCGAACAGG